CCCCUACGGGAGGCAGCAGUGGGGAAUAUUGCACAAUGGGCGCAAGCCUGAUGCAGCGACGCCGCGUGGGGAUGACGGCCUUCGGGUUGUAAACUCCUUUCGUUAGGGACGAAGCCACACUUUUUUGGGUGUGGUGACGGUACCUGAAGAAUAAGCACCGGCUAACUACGUGCCAGCAGCCGCGGUAAUGGGG
rnacentral:rRNA from 1 species